CAGCACCUCAAGUGGUCAGGAUGAUUAUUGGGCCUAAAGCAUCCGUAGCCGGCGCUGUAAGUUUUCGGUUAAAUCUGUACGCUCAACGUACAGGCUGCCGGGAAUACUGCAAAGCUAGGGAGUGGGAGAGGUAGACGGUACUCGGUAGGAAGGGGUAAAAUCCUUUGAUCUAUUGAUGACCACCUGUGGCGAAGGCGGUCUACCAGAACACGUCCGACGGUGAGUGAUGAAAGCUGGGGGAGCAAACCGGAUUAGAUACCCGAGUAGUCC
rnacentral:rRNA from 1 species